GUACGUCUUCAGGGCGGGGUGAAACUCCCCACCGGCGGUAAGUUUGUGGCUUUUUAAAACAGCAGCAAACAAGCCCGCGAGCGCCUGUGCUGUAUUUAUAAGCGUCAGGGUCAGCAGAUCUGGUUUAACUCCAGAGCCGACGGUGAUAGUCCGGAUGAAAGAAGAUGCGU
rnacentral:ncRNA from 2 species